rnacentral:tRNA from 1 species
GUCCCGUUCGUCUAACGGCAAGGACACGACCCUUUCAACGUCGAAACACGGGUUCGAUUCCCGUACGGGACGCCA